UCACACCCGUGCGGGAGAGUCCCGGGCAAGCCAGCCCGUGGCGCCGAAGGAGCAAGAUCUCCCCACAAACUCUCAGGCCCCCAACCGCCGGGUCAGG
rfam:Frankia asymbiotica strain NRRL B-16386 contig_57, whole genome shotgun sequence.